rnacentral:rRNA from 1 species
AUUGAACGCUGGCGGCAGGCUUAACACAUGCAAGUCGAACGAGUGGCGGACGGGUGAGUAAUGCUUGGGAAUCUAGCUUAUGGAGGGGGAUAACUACGGGAAACUGUAGCUAAUACCGCGUACCAUAGGAUGAGCCCAAGUGGGAUUAGGUAUUUGGGGAGGUAAAGGCUCUCCAAGCCGACGAUCUCUAGCUGGUCUGAGAGGAUGACCAGCCACACUGUGACUGAGCCACGGCCCAGACUCCUACGGGAGGCAGCAGUGGGGAAGAUUACGCAAUGGGGGCAACCUGACGCAGCCAUGCCGCGUGAAUGAAGAAGGCCUUAGGGUUGUAGAGUUCUUUCGGUAGCGAGGCGUUAACUACAGAAGAAGCACCGGCUAACUCCGUGCCAGCCGCCGCGGUAAUUC